rnacentral:rRNA from 1 species
GACGAACGCUGGCGGCGUGCUUAACACAUGCAAGUCGAACGGAAAGGCCCUGCUUUUGUGGGUUGCUCGAGUGGCGAACGGGUGAGUAACACGUGAGUAACCUGCCCUUGACUUUGGGAUAACUUCAGGAAACUGGGGCUAAUACCGGAUAUGAGCUCCUGCUGCAUGGUGGGGGUUGGAAAGUUUCGGCGGUUGGGGAUGGACUCGCGGCUUAUCAGCUUGUUGGUGGGGUAGUGGCUUACCAAGGCUUUGACGGGUAGCCGGCCUGAGAGGGUGACCGGCCACAUUGGGACUGAGAUACGGACCAGACUCCUACGGGAGGCAGCAGUGGGGAAUAUUGCACAAUGGGCGGAAGCCUGAUGCAGCAACGCCGCGUGCGGGAUGACGGCCUUCGGGUUGUAAACCGCUUUCGCCUGUGACGAAGCGUGAGUGACGGUAAUGGGUAAAGAAGCACCGGCUAACUACGUG